rnacentral:lncRNA from 1 species
CGUCGUGAAAUCAAAAGCCGUUCCUUUGACAGGCAUAAUUUCACCUGUUGGGAUUGUGUUCUGAUCCACGGGAGUGAUGUGAUUAGCCCACAUCUGGAUGGAGCGGUUUAGUAUGUUUCCCGAAUGUGACCGGCUAAGUUCCAGUAGGUAUGCUGAGCCAAGCUGAUAGGAGUGGCCUUAUUUUCAGGCACAGCUUCCAUGUCGAGCCUCAUUGUUGUACUAGAAGUUAGUGUGUAAGUAGCCAUCACAGCAACAUCUCCUGGGUAACCUAUAAUCAUAUGAACAUGCAACCCAAGGCAUCAAAGCCGUGUUGGUGCAAACGACUGGGUGAGUCGAUGAGCAUGUGCGCCAGUGUGUGCACAUGCAUGAGAGAGAGAGAGAGAGAGAGAGAGAGAGACCUUCUUCCCCAUCAUGACUGUGACAUUUGAAGGUGAUGGAAGGAUUCUCGCCUUUCUUAUAAUCAGCUACCUCCCAUAUCACCUUAUCAAAAUCCUUGUGCCCACCUAAGUAACAAAAAAUUCAGAAGGCCAUUAUCAGAUUGACGUUUUGAAGAAUUAGGUUGCUCCACAUAUACAUACUUUUUGUUCUAAGAAAGGUGAACCUCUUAUCACCAACACUAACUGGAAAAGGCAAAAUUCUUCGUGGAUCUUGUGAUUAUUGAGCAGUACUUAUUUUCCUCAAAAUGUUUCUUCUGUUUAAUGUGCUUGUGUGUGCUCUGUUUCUGAUGGUAGGAAAAAAGUAAAAACUUGGUCCUUUUCUUUUGUCAGAAGCAGUUCACAUGAGUUACAAUACAGCUACAGCUGAGGUGAUUAAGCCACUGUAAGAACACUUUCCCCAGUGUAAUUUUCAAUUCAGGGGAAAAGGACUCUAAAUUCCCUCAAUACUUGAUCAGCCAAGCAUAAAAUUUAAACUGAAGUGCUACAAAUCCUCAAGCUCCCACAGAGGCAGGAUGUGCAGCAACGUCAUAGUGUGAUUAAUUCAUGAUUCGACAACUCUCUCACACAAUUCGAUUCCCGGCACCACCUAUCCAGAUCAAACAGAGAGACGAGCAGAUGCCAAAGGCACAACAUAUAUAAUGCAUUUACGCAAGCAGAUCGAUAGUCAAACACAUACAGAAGGCUGACACGAUCACAAAGACGAUCAAUUCGCUCGAGGCGUCAUUAAGUAUGAUCUCGUCAGCUCGAGCAACAUCCACACCGCAACCACUGAUCAUUAACAAUUCAUACCGUGAACUGAAGACUGUUCGGAGGCUUGUUGAUGGGCAAAGAGUAUUCAACGCCAUCGAGAGUGAACUUCCCCUCCUCUAUCCUGUUCCCGACCCGCCCCCACAAUGCAGCCGAAGAACGGCGCAGCAACUUUCUGCGCAGCACAGAAAACACAAAUCGACCCACAAAAGACAUUCAUCAACCAAAUCUUCCAAAGUUCAAUCCCACAUCAAAACCGACGAAAACAGCCCAAUUGACCAUAAAGUUUCGAAAUUUUCAGCAGAUCAAGAGCCGCGGAAGCGAAGAAAACGGAAAUGCGCGAUCACCGACACAUCUCCACAAGCGCGGGAGGCCAAAAAGUAACGAACUUUCUCACCAGAUACGGCUCGAGGGAGUCGAAACCCAGGACCACAUCCGCCACUUUCCCUGAAAGCAACGAAAAAAAAAGGACAGGCAGACACGAUCGAGUCAUCAGCAACGAUCCGACCAGAACAGAGACCANNNNNNNNNNNNNNNNNNNNNNNNNNNNNNNNNNNNNNNNNNNNNNNNNNNNNNNNNNNNNNNNNNNNNNNNNNNNNNNNNNNNNNNNNNNNNNNNNNNNGAACGGAGAGCGAGGCGAUGGUGCAGCCGAGGUUGGCGAUCUUCGCCCGCAUGGUCCCAUUGUCGAGCUCGAACAGCUCUGCUUGCCCGGCGUGAUCCGCUAUAAAGAUUCUUCCUUUUUCUUCUUCUUCUUCUUCUUCUUCUUCUGGGAAGAGCACGAUCUUAGCCAGUUUCUCCACCGAGUUUAUCCGAAAUUUUUAGAGAAACAGAUAGCGUUUGAAUUUAAGUCUAAUAUAAAAUUUUGGAAUCGGAUUCUAUCAAUAUCGAACAUUUUUACAUAGUAAAAGUUUAGGAAUUAUAUUACACAUUGAAAUAAAGUUUAUAAAUCACAUUAAAUAAAUUAAAAAUUUAUUAAUCAAAUUACACAUUUAAUCAAAAUUUAUGAAUUAUUUGUAUCAUUUUUCUAUUUUUUUUUUUGCUAUUGCCACGUGGAGAGUUAAGGAAAUAAGAUAUACAAAGAUUACAUCAAUAUACGAUAAAGAAUCACCAAUCACUUAUUAAUGUUAUUAAUAAAUGGAAAUUUACUGUCCACAUUGAUUUUAAUACUUUUCUAUAUGAAAUUUUACCAAGUAUAAUGAAUAUCACUAGUCCAUAAAAUUUAUUAGUUUCUUAUAGGAAAUGUUGCUAAGCAUAUCCAAAAUUAUUUUGAUGCAUAUGAAAAUCACUAACCACAUAUAUACGUUAUCGGUAAAUGAAAAGGUAUUGACUAAAUUUACAUAUUUUAUUUUUUUAUGUGAAAUCUUACUAAGCAUAUUGAGAACUUCUUUACAUUAUCAAUCAAUUAUAGGUAUUCCUAGUAAGAAAAACCUACCGAUAUAACUAGUUAUUUCCUAUAUUAAAAUUUUUUUUGCGCAUUGAAAGUUUACUUCGAUAUGUAGGAAAAUUACUUCCAUGAUCAUGAAAGUAAGGAAGUAAUUUUGUUCCUAUAAGCAAUUUGUAUUUUUCUAGACUGUUCUUUAGUAAAUUCUUAACUUGAAAAUGAUUUAAAUCUAUCCAAUCAAUUAGUAUUCGCACUUAUCUGUAAUUUUUCAUUUUCUCUUUUCAGUUAGUAAAUUUUGACAAGUAUUCCAUAGUAAUCUAUAGCUAUUAGUCAAAUUAAAUUUCUAAGGGUUUAAUACAUUCCCAACAUUAGAUGUGAUUUAUAUGACCAAUUUGUUAGAAAUCUUAUACAAAAAUCUGCAUAACAGGUUGCCAGCUAAAUUAUAGUAUCUUGAUCCAACGGUGCUCAUUGUUUUAUGGAAAACGAAUAGUGUAAAUUAUCCACGUACGCUUAUCCGUAGAAGAGACCACGAAAUUAUAGAGCUUGCCAAACUUUCAAGCAAAUCUACAUCUAUCCCAUAGGGCAGCUCUUCAACGCACUCUCUUAUUAUUGUUAAAUUGGAAUAGAUGGUCCUCUCUCUCUUCAUAAUUUUCUAUUCACUAGCAAAAGAGCCCGUGCGAAAAGAAAAAAAAUAAAAAAUAAACGCUCGAAGAAUUAGUUUAUUCGUAAAAAAAAACAAUAUAUAUAUAUAUAUAUAUAUAUAUUAAAUAAGAAUGAUGUUGACUUACCUCAAGAAAAUAUACGAAAUAUGUAUUCAUUCUGUUGGAAAAAUAAUUAUCACAUAUUAAAAAAAAAUAUUUGCAUAUUGAUUUUUACCAAAAAAAAAUAUUUGCAUAUUGAGGAAAACACAUAACACUAUUUGUUGGAAUUAGAAAAAUAAUAAAUUUGAGAGAAUAAUAACAAUAAUAUAGUGAUGAUCAAGCCAAUGUUUGUAUAAUAUUUACAUAUAAUGAUGCUCAAUCACUUUCCAAAUACAAAAUUGUUUGAUUAUAAUAACAUUUAUAGAAAAUUAAACAUAAGGUGAGGUACGGCUAACCGAAUUUCCCUAAGUCAAUUAGUUCUAGCCAAUAGUGUUAAGUAGCUUUAUAAACUAUGCUUCCCAAGAUAUAAUAUCUCGAAUCAAUAUAUAUUAACACUAUACAAAAUAGGAUUAUAUCGACUACUUCUAGAAAUCAGCACACUUGGAGGAGUGCUUUUCCAAAGAGGAAUUCUAAAUUGUGAAUGACUAUUUGCCAUGAAUUAUAGAAGAUUCCGAAGAUAAUCAUUUUCGUAAGCUGAUGAUUAUCUUAGAAUUGUUGUAGAGAGAUUCUAGAAGAUUGGUCAUUAACAAGUCCCUUAAUUCAAGUAAAAUCUACUGGUCAAAAAUGAAGUAAUUUGUCCCUUAACGCGUCCAUCCAUUAAUUUGUCCAUAAUUGAAUCGCAAAACUAUUGUAUGUCAAAACUGCUGAAAAAAUGCAUCCCUUAACACAUCAAUUAAUUCGUCCAUAAAACUAUUCCACGACUGAUGCACGAGGGCUUGAGAAGGAACGCAUCCAUUAAAUUGUCCAUUAACACCGAAGGUUGUAUAAGAAAUGCACGAACUUAUGUUGAGUUGUUAAUAUCAUUAUUUUUUUGUUUUGAUACCCAGGGAACCUCGUACAGCCGGUAGUCAGCGGGUAAACCCUGGUGCGACGCUAGCAGAUAACCCAUGACCCGACGUCGCGCUUAAGAUCCCAUGCGGCCAGCGGGAUUCGACCCCCUCCACUUUUGUUAGUUUCAUUGGAGAGCCUUAUCCAACUGGGCCACUGCAAGUGGUGGUUUAAUACCAUUAAAUGCAAGAAAAAGAGAAGGGGAAUAAUCCCCAAUUGAAUUUCCUAUGAGAACGGGAAAGUAAUCCCCAAUUUCUUUCGAUUUCCUGCUAGAACAGGAAGGUAAUCCCUAAUUUCCUGCGACCUUCCCAUACUUGGUCACAUAUCGCUUCAUUCCUUCAGUAUAUAAAUUGACACAAUUCACACCCAAUUCCUAUCUCACACACCAAAUAGCUUUGAACUCCCAAUAAAAAGAAAAAAGAAACAAAAGAAGGAUGAAGAACUUUCAAGUUGCAACAAUCCUUGUGCUCUUUUUGUUCUUAACGACAAGUAAGCUUUCUCUUCGCGAUACGUAUGCUUCUUCAUCUUCUUUUUUAAAGAUUUACGUACUUAAAUCAUAAGGAUUAUAUUAUUUACACAUGCAUGAUUUUCAACCAAACUAAUUUCUUUAUCAUUCGUUUUUUUUUUUGGGGGGGGCAUGAAGGCGAGGUGAUAGUAGCGCAGACUCCGGUGGGUCCAUGUUUCGAGAGUUAUGAUCUUCCCGGCUGCAAUCGUGAAGCGUGCAUCGACUUUUGCAUUAAUAAGACCAAGUUGGCUUUGCCUGAGGGGGUUUGUAGCGAGGAUGGAGCCAGUUGCCUUUGCAUUGUAGUUUGCCAAUAAGUAAAUGCUCCUCUCUCUGUAACUGCCUUCAAUGAAGGGAUCAUUUUGUGACGUUUUCAAACCCACACACACUCUCUCUCUCACUCUGUCCCCAAAUAUCACUAAUCUCGAUCUAAAUUAUGUCUACAAGAGUGAUAUCUCAAAAUGCCGAGUAAUUUUAUUGCAAUCGAAGCUUCAUCACUCUCUAGGACGAGCCAUACAGGCAUAAGGCACAUAGAUUGACAACGGCACGAGCCGCUGAUACUCACGAUAGUAACAAAGUAAAUUGAUGAACUGAUUGUCUUGAAAAUUACGAGACUUGGAAAAUGCCCGGAAAGCCACGUUGAUUGUCGAUUAACGAUUGGCAUAAAUCGGAAAAUCUGAGCAAUCGAAAUCCUUGUGCAAUAAAUGGACGACUAACGAUUGAAGGGACCUUGACUAUGCCUUGGUUCUUGGAGUUAAGGUCUACAAUGAUUCGAAUGCCCAAUUCUCGUUUUCAAAGAAGUUGAUGGCGAGAGAUCUUGUACGAGAAGUUUGGUUUUGCCUACAUUGAAUAUGUGGUAUCAAGAAAAUUUCUGCAUUUAUUAAUAUGUAGGAAUUUUUUUAUGAUCAAUGUUAUGUGCGAGAAGUUUAUGCAAUCGAUUGAUGUGACGGUUACAUUUGAGCAAUGGGUUAGAAACUUACAAAGUUAAUUAUUUACUUAUGUUCGAAAAAUUUUAUUAAAUGUUUUGACAAGUUCAAAAUAUUUUUCAAAUUGAUCAAUAUUUAGAACAUACAUUGUUUUUUUUUUUAUAUAUUGAUUUACUUGAUUCCUUAGUAUUCCAAUAGAAAAAGCUACUAUAGAAAGUCGUUAUUUUGGCUUCUCUUCCAUUGGCAGGAGAGGCUUUGAACUUUAUAUUUUAAUUUAGGGAUAUGUUAAGUCCUAAAACUUGUGACGAAAGUGUAAUUGAGUCCUAAGAUUUACAAAAAGUGCAAUUAAAUCCUAAAACUUAUCAAAUUGAUUCAAUCAAGUCCUAAAUUUAACAUCGUCAAUUUGACUAAUGGUAAAUACUAACAUGGUUUUUUAAAAAUACUUUCUCUUUCCUAUGUGGCAAUGACAUGGCUUAAAUUAUAAUUUGUUUAACCAAAAUAUUAAUUAAAUUAAAGAAAAAAGUAUUUCAAAAAACCAAAUAAAAGGAAAAAAAUGAAACUAUGGGCAAUGGCGGUAGGCCCUGACCGCCGUUGCCUUCGUUGCCAGAAAGGGUUGGCGAGGGUCCCUAGGGCCUCGACUAGGGCCAGCAACUUCACCCAAAUCUGGGUGAGGAUCGCGACCCUUGAGCCAAAUUUGGGCAAGGGUUGCCAGCCCUUAACCUGCUAUCGUGGCCCUCAGCAAGGGUCAUUGGAUCACAUCGAGGGUAAAGAAGGUAAAGUUGCAGUCUCAUAUGUUGAUUAUGUUGCCCUAAACAUUUGUGAUUGUUAUGUGAGGGCAAGUGUGAAGGUGAACUUUUACUUUAGAUUUCAUUUGCUGGGUUUAGUCUCAUUCCUUUAUUUUUCUAGAAAUGUAAGAUGACCCUUUCGCCGCUACCACUUUUUGAAGCCCAAGUACACAUAAAGUAUGAGUAUGAGGAGGUUGUGUUGCCUAAUAUUGUUUUGAUGUAUACCAAGUACACUACUACAAUAUGAGUCAAUAUAAGACUUGUCAAAUGGGUUCCUCAUCGGUAUAUAGUUUGGUCUGUGAUAUUCAAAAGUGACUAGAUGAGACUGCCAUGAGGCUUUGAUGGUCCUCCUAGUUAUGUUGUCAAGGAGCCAAUGUUGGGGUAUGUUAUUGAUUCUUAGAUGACAGAUCAGUGUUGUACAUGCAGGUUUUUGAGAGCAGCAGUAUGGUAGUGGAGAUAGGAAUUACCAUAUGCCAACAUAUAUAUAUAUAUAUAUAUAUAUAUAUAUAUUGUAGAUAUUGAAAUUUAAUCUUGUUGCAUCCUAUAUGCAAGUACUCUAGCCCAUGAGCUAUGCCAAGGGAAAUCUAGUACAAUGUGUCCCGAGUCAACAGUUGAUCUAACUCCAAUGUGUUACUCCUAUUAAAUAUGAACUUUUCAAGGGAUCCGUUAGGCAUGAACUCAUAAACCAAAGCUCUUUUGCUUUCUUCAAAACAGAAUCCCAAGAGGUUGCCAACAUUGACAUGAGAAGUCCUCCUACUUAUGCUUGCAACUUCAUUGAAAAAUUCUUCAGCAUCGCCUUUCUUUAGAAGCUUCACUGCCACAAGUUGGCCAUCUUGAAGCUUGCCUUUGUACACACAACCAUAGCCUCCUUGGCCCAACUUUUCUUUGAAAGAGUCAGUCAUCCUCUUGAUGUCUUUAUAGGUGUACCUUCUCGAAGAGAUGAGUCCCUCGAUUUUCUUUUUGCCGUCGAAAUAUUCACUCCUUCACUUUAUCAAAGCCAUAAUUCUUCUUAUCAUUGGUUUCUUCUUGAAGGAAAGCAUUAAAAUAAGGGCGAUCCCAACUUCAUAUGUAAUCAAGUAAUAAGGUGACUAUAGUAUUUUCCUUUUCUAAACUCCACGAGGUUAAUCUUUUGCGGCACGGCGAUACUAAAUAAUUAUAAUAUAUAUGCUUGGUUGUCAUGCCAAAAGCACACACAUAGGAAAAAUGACACUUAAGUUCAUAAAUUUUGACUCAAUUUGCAUUGUCAUCCAUUAAUUUUUGGUUUGUUUAAAUGUGAUGUUUGGAUUAUUCUUAAAUGUUCAAUGUGAUCCUUUUGCUUAAUCGAACAAGGAAGAAAGUUAUUACAAGCCCCAAAACUAGUGUGAAAUGUUCAAUGUAAUCCCUAAACUAUAACAAAAUAUGCAAACUAGUCUCUAAACUAUUGUGAAGUGUGCUAUCAAUUCAUAAACUUCCAUUGUAUUUAGUCUAGUCCCUCAACUUUCCAUAACAAAGUCAAAUCGAUCUUUCAAUACUAUCUAUUUACAAGUUUGCAUAAUUACAUUAUUGCCCAAAUUUUAUAAUAUAUUUUCAUUUCAAUCUAUUUCCCAAAUAAAAAAAAUUAUUCUUUGUUUUUAUUAGAUUAUUAUCCUUUCAAUACCUAAAAAUAUUACAAUAGUUCUAUAUAAGUAUAUUUUAGCUUGCUAUCUCUAUGAUAGUAAAAGUAAAAUAUCAUUAAAAAUUGUAUCAAAUUGAUAUUCCUACUAUUUUAAGUAUUAAGUGAUUUCAUAAAGAUUAUAUCUAGAAACGAUAUUAAUUUAUCAAUAGAUACACAUACUAAUAUUAAUCUAAAACUUACUCAUAAUCUUUUAAAUAGAUAAAAAAAUUUACGCUUUUAUGUUACUUGUUUUCUUAAUAAAGUUUAGUUAAAUCCGUGCUUUUGGGGGGGGGGGGUGUAAAAGUAUCAUUUUCUUCGGAACAUUUACUGUGAAGCAUGAAAACACACCGUCGUAUCAAUAAUUGUAUUGCUUGUUCGCACUGUGCUAUAAAUUUCUUGAGGAUCCUUGCAUAUGCAAAAGGGACGAAACAUGGGCCUCAGGAAGCAAGAACGGUGGGUGAAUGAUUGGGCCUUGUAGACUCCGACCCAGAAAGGAGGCAUUUGAUGACCUAGAGUGUCUAGUAUGAGCAAAUAAAGGUGCUUGACACUUUGAUUUAAACGACAGAAAAAAAAAAGAAAGUCAUUGUUCUGAUAAUCGGACCGGACUAGCAGUUUAACCGGGCAUUAGUUCGAUUUUCGGCCAAUUCAUUUCUUUUUCUCCACUUAAGCCAAUUCAACCAAUUUUUGUGGGACAAUCCACUAUUAACUAGUAUAAAAGGAUCAUUCAAAAGAUAUUAAAACCGAGUAGUCCCAAGAUUAGGUACAAUAAUCACUAAGCUAACCGCGAGAUUGACCCUUGGACCAUCGGAUUAGCACAAAUAAUCCACCAAACCAAUUCUCAUUUUUAAAAGGUUAAUCUUUCUUUUUCCCAGAAGGGCCCAACAUCCUAAGCUCCCUUCAGGAAUUUGCAAAUUAUGAGCCCAUCAUGGGGCUCACCACCUGAUGCUGAUGGCUACCCUUUUGCACUUUUUUCCCUUGAAAACAAUUUGAGGGAUGAAAUUAUUCUAGAAUAUGGUUGAGAAUAUGCUGUGUGGAUGAUGCUAGUAUGAAGUUAAUGGCCGAAGCAUGUUCCCUUUAGUUUCAGAAACUCAGAAGAGAAGUCCCACCAAAUUGAAGACUCGGAGAGAGAGGGAGAGAGAGAUUGUGGGCUCCUCAUUAUCUUCAACCCCCAAAAUCGACAUUGGUCGUUACAUCACUCAUGUGCCCUUCUCUUUCUUGCCCACGAAUGGACCACCUAGUACAUUUGUGUCCACCACUCAAAUAUUGUUCCUAGCACCGUAGUGCUAAUGGGAGACAUGCAGCAUGAUCAUCAAAUCCUAGCCGUCCAUACAUAUUUGGGCCCUCAAAAAAGAUAACCUGCUUGCAAGUCACUUUCAAGAAAUAUUACACCAAGUAACCUUUUUGGGACUUUGGAAGUUUGUGCCCUAGAAUCAAAGUGGGGUUUAUUUUGCACUUUUAUAUUUAUCGCCCACUGGAGGGUAAAAUUAUCAACAAAAAAAAAAAAAAUCUUGUUAGCUGACGAUGUCAUGUAUCAUAAUCAAUGUCCACGUCGAUGAUCUCUAGUUAAAAUUGGUCGGAAGGACUAUAUUAGUUAAUCGUCAAAAAGUUAAUGACUAAAUUAGUCAAAUUAAAUAAUUUAUAAAUGAAUUGAUAUUUGUACAAUAAAUAAAUAAAAAAUUGGUAAUUAUCUCAUCAAUUAAGUACAUAAGAUAAUAGUACGAUCAAAGAGAAGCUAAUGCUUCACUUUGGGCAUGUCACCUUUGAUUAGGACAUGUUUAAUGUACAUGUUCUAUACAGAAAUUCAAUGGUAAGACUUGCCUGUCAAUCUGUGUUGUCUCAAUAGCCACUGAAAAGACAUGAAGGAGGAGAUGUGCUUCAGUGCUUUUUGCUAAGUUAGGUUCAUGUCAUGUACUUUUCACUUGAUCGAGAAACAUAUAAUAUAUUCGAAUGAUCGAGAGGAAGUUUAUGAUUUAAAGCUGGACAAACAUAUAUUGUAUUUUUAUUUUUUUUUAGCGAGAAAGAAUUUAGUCCUAGCCUAAAAAUUGCAUGGCAAGUGGAAAUUCCUAAACCCUAGAACACUCAAUUAACAUACCGAAUUUCCUUUUAGUUAAGCAGCCUCAAGUGGAAUGGCUCAAACCAGCCUUUGUCCUCUUCCAGUGCCAUUUGUUGAAUUCUUUCAUGGUUCAAUAAAUAAUUUGAGAAGCCAGCCAACGAUUUGCAGCACGCCAGUGAAGAAUUUUUUUUCACAUUUUUUUUAAUAAAAAAAUUGAAUUUCCAAUUAUCACAGUCAGUAGUCCUGCUUCGAACCUAGGGAAAGAAGGGGGAUUAAAUAAUGAUCCUAAUUUCAAUUUUUAUUACUGUGGGUCCACUGAGUGACUUUUAACAGUGGUAUUCAAGUCAGUUUUUUUUUUUGGUCGAAAAUACUUCAUUGAUUAAUACUAAGAUGGUGGAUUAUAACUAGUAAGAAAUCCAAACAUAAGAUAAGAUAAAGUUCGUGCGGGGGAUGAGAUACCGAGUUACUAGGAAGAGAACCUAUAUUAUGGGAUUUGAUGAUCCAAUCAACAGCUCAGUUUGAUUGGUGCGGUUCAAAUCACAAAAAGACAUUCUUCAUUUAGGCCAUCAUUUUUCUGCAGUCCAGGACGUAAGGGCGAGAGGCCAAGGAGAUUUCAGUUCGGCCCAAGAUGGAUUCCAUGACCGGGAGAUAGUCGCUAGAGAUAUACACGGGCAAGUCGGGCAAGUCAAUUCGUGCGUCUAAAGGAGUUCCUGUCAGAGCAAUUCGAGACUUCCUCAACCACUCGAGUGCCUGUUGAACAGUUAGGGUUUCUCCCAUGUGAGCCGAUUGAGCUCGGAUCUUCUGCGCGAAGCCUGCAAUACUCACCUCAUCCGCUCCUCUGCAUAUUCCGGUGAUGGAUUUCUCUGAUUUCUCUUCCUGCCAAGAGCAAUCGACAUUUAUUUUCAAGGCACCUAGAUCUGGAGGCAUCUAGGUAUGCUGUUCUGAGGUAAUUUCUUUCCUUCAUGGAUUCCACUUCUCAUAGAGCUGCUAGGAGAGAAAGGCUUCACUGAUUAUCUGUGCUUGUUUUGUUUUCCGGCCUUGAAAGAGCAGAGCAUUUCGGGCCUUCCAGAUUUGCCAAAGAGUGAUCGCGAAAAUUGCCUUUUGGCUUGUCGAGAUGCCAAACCGAAGGUAUUCACUUACCCAUCUAUCUGUUCUUGUUAUAGAGGUAGGGGAAACAUCUAUGUCGACAUUAUAAUUCAGCCAUAUUUCUUGUGUCCACUGACACAGCCAGAAGAGAUGCUUGGAGGACUCUAGAAACUGGUGACAAAAUGGACAUGUCGGCUCAAGUAUGAUUUUUCUCCGGUAUAAAUUGACUCUUGUAGGGAGACUUUCAUUACAUAAACUCCACAUGAAAUGUCUGAUUCUGGGGAUAGUCUGUAAAUGGCAGAUUUCUGUCCAUAGUCGUUUUAGUACCUGAUAUGAAGAGGAUGCCUGGUUUUCUGUGAUGGUUGUGUUCGCUACUCGUAAUUUAUGAUAUCCACUUUUGAGUUUAUAGUUCCUUGAGUAAUGCCCUGUCCAUAUUAAACGGUCAGGUCUGGUAAGUAUGCUGAGUGUUGUUGCCUGAAUUUCCUCUGAGAUGUUGUUGUCGAAGAGCUCAUUGAUAAGUUGACUAUUCCAUGCACGCAUAUUUGGAUCAAUAAUAUCUUCCACUAGCUUAGAGUCAUUUCGAUUCGCCGACCCUCCAAUUCUACCUGACAUUAGCCAACGAUCUUCUCUCAAGUUGAUAGAUUUGCUGUCCUCGACCUCCCAUUCCAGAUCAGGUUUUAGGGCAUCUCGGCCAAUUAGGAUACUCUGCCAACCCCAAGAUGGUCUGGCCUCCUUUGUAGUAGUCCAUAGAUUACCAUGAGGGAAGUAGAGACCUUUAAAAAUUCUGCUCCACAAGGCCUCAGAAGCUUGAUUUAGUCUCCAGGCUUGUUUUCCCAACAUAGCUUUGUUAAAUUCCACUAAAUCUUUAAACCCCAUUCCUCCUUGUUCCUUCCUCAUCUUUAAAACGUUCCAACUCUUCCAGUAAAUACCUUUUUGUUGUGCAUUCUACUUCCACCAGAAAGCUGAGACUUUCCUUUCAAUCGCUUAGCAAAUGGAUAGAGGUAUUUUAAAGAUAUUCAUGGCAUAUUGGGGUAAUGCCUGAACAACCAUUUUAAUUAGCACUUCUUUUCCCACCUUCAAUAUUAAUUGCUCUUUCCAUCCCUCCAGUUUUCUGUCCACCCGUGCUAUGAUCCAAUCUAACAUAUGUUUUUUAGUUUGGCCCCGAUCGGAUGGUAUCCCUAAGUAUUUUCCAGUUUUGUCUAAGAUAGGAACCCUCAAUUCUGAUGCAAUAUUUCAUUUCAAAUCCUGUGGACAGCUUGCCCUAAAAAACACUCCAGAUUUUGUCUAAGAUAGGAACCCUCAGUUCUAAUGCAGUAUUUCAUUUCAAAUCCUGUGGACAGCUUGCCCCAAAAAACACUCCAUAUUUGUUAAGAUUAACUAACUGACUAGAAGAAAACCAGUAGCAAUUUAGGAUAUUAGUAAGAUUCUAAGCUUCCCUAAUAGUUCCAUCCAAGAAGAAAAUGGCAUCAUCCGCAAAGAAUAGGUGGGAUAAGAUAGGGCAGUGUGGAUUCAGUUUGAUACCCUUUAAGCUUCCAUCCAUAAUAGCAUUAUGCACCAUGUGGGAGAGAACAUUGGACAAAAUUAUGAAAAGAUAAGGUGAGAGAUGAUCCCCUUGUCUAAUACCUCUAGUUGGAGUGAAAGAUUCCCCUGCUUCGCCAUUAAUUAGUAAACAAAAUUGAGCUAAAGAGAUAUAGAAUUUGACCAUAUUCACCCAUUUAUUGUUGAAACCCAUCUUCUUCAUACAAUCACAUAGAAAGUCCCACUCAACUCUAUCGUACGCUUUAUGCAUAUCUAGCUUCAACACAGCUUGGAAUUUUCUACCUCUCUUUCUAACCCGCAGCUGAUGUAGUACUUCUUGAACAAUAAAAAUAUUGUCUUGUAUUUGCUGGCCACUGAGGAAUGCACUUUGUUCCAAGGAGAUAAUGAGUGGAAGCCAAGGUUUGAGUCUAUUCGCCAUGACCUUUGUAAUAACUUUGUAGCUAAAGUUGCACAAGCUUAUUGGUCGGAAUUCUAUUAUGCUCUCGGGAUUUGCCACUUUGGGGAUAAGUGUGAUAAGGGUCUCAUCAAGUGCUGGAUCAAAGCUGCCUUCUUUGACAAAAGAAUCCACUAGGUUGAAUAUGUCUUCAUGAAUAAUAUGCCACUGACUUUGAUAGAAAAGACCACUCAAACUGUCUGGUCCAGGGGCUUUUGCUGCCCCCAUUUGAAAAACAGCUUGUUGCACCUCCUCCUUAGUAAUUUGUUCUGUUAACAACACAUUCAUUUCCUCAUAAACAACAAUUGGACAUUGCUCUAAGACUGAUAGAUAGUAACGGGAUCCCACAAAUUUAUAGGAUUCAAGUCAGUUUAGUUGCCCUCUGACUUUUGAUUAUUAAAUAUAUAUAUAUAUAUAUAUAUAUAUUGUAGAUAUUGAAAUUUAAUCUUACAUUUGCCAACAACUGCCAUCACUACUAGGAUCCUACAUGAUUUGAAUUGUUCAAGUCAAACCGACCCUUUGGACCCAAAAAUAAAAGUCAAACUGAUCCUCCAUCAUCAACCUCAAAAAGAAUACAUAGCUAGUUCACUUAUGCGCUCGAGGUGGGUCCUGUUCCUACACAUUAGCCCCUAAUAAGAUAUUCCUACACGUUCUCCAUUAUCUUUCAAUAUUAACAAAUAUUUGAGACUGAGUAGAAUGCUUCCGAUCGAAAAUCUUAAGUUUUCCAUCUAAUUUUAAGAGAUAAGUGUACUUUACGUCCUAAAACUUGUCAUAAAUAUAUAAUUGAAUCUUAAAAUUUUCAAAAAAUAUGAUCAAGUCCUAAAACUUAUUAAAUUAGUGCCAUAAGUCUUUUCGUUAAUUACAUCCAAUUUAGUUAAGGAAAAUUAUUGACGUGGUUUUUUUUAUUAUUUUUCUUUCUCUUAUACGCAACGCUAACAUGACUAAUAUACAAAGGAUAAGGCUAAAGUGACUUUAUAUUUGGUCCAAAUAUGAUUUUUUUUUAAAAUAUUAUUUUAAUUAGAUUAAAAAAUAUAAAAAGGAAGGAAGGCAAAACAAUAAGCGCCUAUAGGGCCUUCAUUGUGGCCGCCCACCACUACCAAGAAAGGUCGGUGAUGGUGGGGGAUAGUCAACCAAGAGUCGGCGAGGGUUGGCAACCCUCGCCCAAUCUAGGGGUGGGCCUACAGGCCCUCGCUUACGGUUGGUAAAGGUCGCUAGAUGCUAGCCAACAAUCCUCUACCAUCAUUGACCCUUCUCAAUGAUGAUGGGGCGGCGAAAGCCCCCACUGACUGGAUUUUUCUUUUUUUAAAGUUAGCUUAUUUUUUAAGAUAAUUUAAAUACAACUUCGAUUGAAAAACUAAAUUUGGACUAAAACGAUGUUGUUUUAGCCACGUUAGCACCAUUUAACAGAGAAAAAAAAAUCACAUGAGCAAUUUCUAUUAAUCAAAUUUGACAGAGUUAAUGGAAGCACUUGAUUUCACCAAUUUGAUUUGUUUUAAAACUUGAUAUCACAUUUUGUAAGUUUUAUAGUUCAAUUGCAUUUUCGUAACAAGUUUUAAAACUUUCGAUGAUUUAUUUCUAAAAUUAAUUAUCAUUGAGUCGGGUAAGCUCACUAAAAUAUCUGCAAAGAUCUAAUGCCACAUAAGAUAUUAUUAUUUAGGGCAUCAAAAAAGGAUCGGUCAAUGUCAGAUAGGGUUUGGUGUUUCUUUAGUUUAUAUAAUGAGUUUUUGUUAAUUUGGAGCCGGAAUUACCCGAUUGAUUAGGGUUAUAAUAUGGGGCAAUAUCUGUUGGUGCUUCCUUUUAACUAAUUAAAAAGAGGCAAGAAAAGGAGAAGACAAACAGACACAUUCACAGAGUGUCGAUGUCCAUGUAGACCCUUUCCUGGGGUUACAAAAGUGAAACGAUUGUAACGAAAGCGCAACAAUGUGAGGAGAGGACAACACGAAUGGGACAAGACCCGAGGCAUUUUUAUUAUCGAGUUUUACAAACAUAGAAAAAUUUCAUCUCAAAGAAUUAGUUGGUGCGAUACGGUUAAUAAUCGUAUCUAGACAUAUAACUUCUUUACUUAACCUUUCAAUUCAAAGUGGGUUGAACUAAUUAUAUUGACCAAUAUCGGAUUAGACUCCCUCUUGCAUAUGCUUAGAUGAUGGUAUCGGGCUUCCGUUGUACUCCACCCAUAUUAUCCUUUCAUUUACAUUUCAUUUUUGGGAAUUUUCUAAUGAUGAUACUAGUUCUAUUUAUUUUGCAAAAAAUGAAUAAUUUGAAAGAUAUUUUUCUAAAAGACAGUCACUUAUAUCACUUACAAAAAUGAAUGAAUAAAUAAAAGAAAUAAAUUUUAUCAUUCACAAAGAUGUUUAGAUAUAAAUUAUUGUUAAUAAUGAAAAUAUUUUCUAUCGACUAAUUAUUUCAAGCAAUCUAAAUGAGCAAUUUUUAAAAGAUUUUUGGGGCUGCUUUCAUGGUUGAUAUUCAUUAAAUCUGUUACAGUACUCGCUAACUGCAGAUGUAACAAGAGGGUAUCUGCACAAAUCCUUAUGUGCCACAAUGGAGUUCAUUUUAGAAACUGAUAAGGGUAUGACAUGCUUCCUCAUUGAUUCUAAAUCAAUUUUGGCAAUGAUAACUUGCGGGAAGGAUCUAAUCCAGUGCUUCCUCUGUUAAUUUUUUCAGCUGAGCUUCUUGAUCAAUCAGCUUCUCCUGAGAUGGUUAUCUUUUACAUUACUCAGGAUACCCAAAGACAUCCAUUGCUUCCUGAGUUGAAAUCAGGCAAACUUCUAUAUGUAUCUAUCUUUCAGUCUCUAGCAUAAUUCUGAACUAUAGUCAAUUGGUCAGAUAGAAAAUUGUAAUACGCUUAUUUAUCUGCUCAUGCAUAUUUGGAUGAAAAGCGACAGGAUGGACAAGUUCUGCUAUAAUCAAUUGUAAAAGUCUCAUUGGUUUUGUUGCUAUAUCUAAAGAAAAUAUGCAUUCGCCUGAUCCAACUUCUUACGAGGAAGAUGUUGACGUACAGGUGGUUUUCGAGUGACUGGAAAGAUGUCCAUUCAGUGUGCUCUGUCAGACCCAAUUAGUGGAGAGCUUAUUGUGGAAACAUCUGCAGUUCCAAUUCGCUCUGCUGACAUACACAUACUUCGAAUUGAGUCGAUUCUUUUUGGAGAUAGAAUUGUGACCGACACGUCCUUGAUACAAACAACCCAGGUGCGUAAUUUUUUAACUAAAUAGAUGUAUAUUUCUGGAUCAAAAUCUUCCUUAACAAUGUCCUUCUACAUGUACUAGAUAGCAGAUGGGGAUGUGUGUCAGUCUCAGCAUAUGAUAUUCCUCCUCGCCUCUUAACUUGUCCAACGACCUUGGCUGGGUGAGUUGCUGGAUUCACAUUGCCACACUCUACAUGAGUUACAACACAGCUACAGCUGAGGUGAUUAAGCCACAAUGUAAGAACACUUUCCCCAGUGAAAUUUUCAAUUAAGGGGAAAAGGACUCUAAAUUGCCUCAAUACUCUAUCAGCCAAGCAUAAAAUUUAAACUGAAGUGCUACAAAUCCUCAAGCUCCCACAGAGGCAGGAUGUGCAGCAACGUCAUAGUGUGAUUAAUUCAUGAUUCGACAACUCUCUCACACAAUUCGAUUCCCGGCACCACCUAUCCAGAUCAAACAGAGAGACGGGCAGAUGCCAAAGGCACAACAUAUAUAAUGCAUUUGCGCAAGCAGAUCGAUAGUCAAACACAUACAGAAGGCUGACACGAUCACAAAGACGAUCAAUUCGCUCGAGGCGUCAUUAAGUAUGAUCUCGUCAGCUCGAGCAACAUCCACACCGCAACCACUGAUCAUUAACAAUUCAUACCGUGAACUGAAGACUGUUCGGAGGCUUGUUGAUGGGCAAAGAGUAUUCAACGCCAUCGAGAGUGAACUUCCCCUCCUCUAUCCUGUUCCCGACCCGCCCCCACAAUGCAGCCGAAGAACGGCGCAGCAACUUUCUGCGCAGCACAGAAAACACAAAUCGACCCACAAAAGACAUUCAUCAACCAAAUCUUCCAAAGCUCAAUCCCACAUCAAAACCGACGAAAACAGCCCAAUUGACCAUAAAGUUUCGAAAUUUUCAGCAGAUCAAGAGCCGCGGAAGCGAAGAAAACAGAAAUGCGCGAUCACCGACACAUCUCCACAAGCGCGGGAGGCCAAAAAGUAACGAACUUUCUCACCAGAUACGGCUCGACGGAGUCGAAACCCAGGACCACAUCCGCCAGUUUCCCUGAAAGCAACGAAGAAAAAAGACAGGCAGACACGAUCGAGUCAUCAGCAACGAUUCCGACCAUGAACAGAGACCACGAUCAUGAGCGACGAACCGUCUUUGCCCGGAACGGAGAGCGAGGCGAUGGUGCAGCCGAGGUUGGCGAUCUUCACCCGCAUGGUCCCAUUGUCGAGCUCGAACAGCUCUGCUUGCCUGGCCUGAUCCGCUAUAAGGAUUCUUCCUUUUUCUUCUUCUUCUUCUUCUGGGAAGAGCACGAUCUUAGUCAGUUUCUCCACCGAGUUUAUCCGAAAUUUUUAGAGAAACAGAUAGCAUUUGAAUUUAAGUCUAAUAUAUAAUUUUGGAAUCGGAUUCUAUCGAUAUCGAACAUUUUUUUUUUAGUAAAAAAGAUAUCGAACAUUUUUAUAUAGUAAAAGUUUAAGAAUUAUAUUACACAUUAAAAUAAAGUUUAGAGAUCACAUUAAAUAAAUUAAAAUUUUAGUGAUCAAAUUACACAUUUGAUCAAAAUCCAUGAAUUAUUUGUAUCAUUUUUCCAAUUUUUUUUGCUAUUGCCAUGUGGAGAGUUAAGGAAAUAAGAUAUACAAAGAUUACAUCAAUAUACGAUAAAGAAUCACCAAUCACUUAUUAAUGUUAUUAAUAAAUGGAAAUUUACUAUCCACAUUGAUUUUAAUACUUUUCUAUAUGAAAUUUUACCAAGUAUAAUGAAUAUCACUAGUCCAUAAAAUUUAUUAGUUUCUUAUAAGAAAUGUUGCUAAGCAUAUCCAAAAUUAUUUUGAUGCAUAUGAAAAUCACUAACCACAUAUAUACGUUAUCGGUAAAUGAAAAGGUACUGACUAAAUUUACAUAUUUUAUUUUUUUAUGUGAAAUCUUACUAAGCAUAUUGAGAACUUCUUUACAUUGUUAAUCAUUUAUAGGUAUUCCUAGUAAAAAAAACUUACUGAUAUAACUAGGUAUUUCCCAUAUAAAUUUUUUUUUGCACAUUGAAAGUUUACUUCGAUAUGUAGGAAAAUUACUUCCAUGAUCAUGAAAGUAAGUUUAUUCAUAUAAGCAAUUUGUAUUUUUCUAGACUGUUCUUUAGUAAAUUCUUAACUUGAAAAUGAUUUAAAUCUAUCCAAUCUGUUAGUAUUCGCACUGAUCUGUAAUUUUCAUUUUAUCUUUUCAGUUAGUAAAUUUUGACAAGUAUUCAAUGGUAAUCUAUAGCUAUUAGUCAAAUUUCUAAGUGCUUCAUACAUUCCCAACAUUAUAUGUGAUUUAUGUGACCAAUUUGUUAGGAAUCUUAUACAAAAAUCUGCAUAACAGGUUGCCAGCUAAAUUCUAGUACCAUUAAUUUCAACACAUUCAAUGCAAGAAAAAGAGAACGGGAAGGUAAUCCCCAAUUUCCUACGAGAAUGGGAAGGUAAUCCCCAUUUGAAUUUCCCGUGAGAACAGAAAGGUAAUCCCCAAUUUCUUGCGAGAACAGGAAGAUAAUCCCCAAUUGAAUUUCCUGCUCCAUAAGCUGAAUAUUGGACCUUCCCAUACUUGGUCGCAUAUCGCUUCAUUCCUUUAGUAGAUAAAUUGACACAAUUCACACCCAAUUCCUAUCUCACACACCAAAUAGCUUUGAACUCCCAAUAAAAAGAAAAAAGAAACAAAAGAAGGAUGAAGAACUUUCAAGUUGCAGCAAUCCUCGUGCUCUUUCAGUUCUUAACGACAAGUAAGUUUCCUCUUCACGAUACGAAGCUUCCUCUUCAUGAUACGUAUGCUUCUUCUUCUUCUUCUUUUUUAAAGAUUUACAUACUGAAAUCAUAAGGAUUAUAUUAUUUACACAUGCAUGAUUUUCAGCCAAACUAAUUUCUUUAUAAUUUCUUUUUUUUUUUGGAGGGUGGGGGCAUGAAGGCGAGGUGAUAGCGGCACUGCCUCCAGUGGGUCCAUGUUUUGAGCGUUAUGAUCUUCCCGGGUGCAAUGGUCAAGCGUGCAUCGACUUUUGCAAUAAUAAGACCGGGGUGGCUGGGGCUGGGGGGUUUUGUAGCGACGAUGGAGCCAGUUGCCUUUGCAUUGUACCUUGCCAAUAAGUAAAUGCUCCUAGGGGGCUUUGUAGUGAGGAUGGAGCCAGUUGCCUUUGCAUUGUACCUUGCCAAUAAGUAAAUGCUCCUCUCUCUGUAACCUACCUUCAAUGAAGGGAUCAUUUUGUGACGUUUUCAAACCCACACACACACUCUCUCACUCUGUCCCCAAAUAUCACUAAUCUCGAUCUAAAUUAUGUCAACAAGAGUGAUAUCUCAAAAUGUCGAGUAAUUUUAUUGCAAUUGAAGCUUCAUCACUCUCUGGGACGAGCCAUACGAGCAUAAGGCAUAGAUUGACAACGGCACAAGCAGCCGAUACUCACGAUAGUAGCAAAGUAAAUUGAUGAACUGAUUGUCCUGAAAAUUACGCGAGUUGGAAAAUGCCCGGAAUGCCACGUUGAUUGUCGAUUGACGAUUGGCAUAAAUCGGAAAAUCUUAGCAAUCGAAAUCCUUGUGCAAUAAAUGGACGACUAACGAUUGAAGGGAACUUGACUAUGCCUUGGUUCUUGAAGUUAAGGUCUACAAUGAUUCGAACGCUCAAUUCUCGGUUUCAAAGAAGUUGAUGGCGAGAGAUCUUGCACGGGAAGUUUCGUUUUGCCUACAUUGAAUAUGUGGUAUCAAGAAAAUUUCUGCAUUUAUUAAUAUGUAGGAAUUUGUUUAUGAUCAAUGUUAUGUGCGAGAAGUUUAUGUGAUGGAUUGAUGUGAUGGUUACAUUUGAGCAAUGGGUUAGAAACUUACAAAGUUAAUUAUUUACUUAUGUUCGAAAAAUUUUAUUAAAUGUUUUGACAAGUUCAAAAUAUUUUUCAGAUCGAUCAAUAUUUAGAACAUACAUUUUUUUUUUUUAUAUAUUGAUUUACUUGAUUCCUUAGUAUUCCAAUAGAAAAAGCUACUAUAGAAAGUCAUUAUUUUGGCUUCUCUUCCAUUGGCAGGAGAGGCUUUGAACUUUGUAUUUUAAUUUAGGGAUAUGUUAAGUCCUAAAACUUGUGACGAAAGUGUAAUUGAGUUCUAAGAUUUACAAAAAGUGCAAUUAAAUCCUAAAACUUAUCAAAUUGAUUCAAUCAAGUCCUAAAUUUAACAUUGUCAAUUUGACUAAUGGUAAAUACUAACGUGGAUUUUUUAAUACUUUCUCUUUCGUAUGUGGCGAUGACAUGGCUGAAAUUAUAAUUUUCUUUAAAAAAAUUAUUAUUGUAAAAUAAAAGCGAAAAGGGCCGGGCCAGGGAUAGGCCUGCUCGGCCCUCUCCUCUCUUCCUUCCGUUUCUUCUUUCCUCGAGGCCAGCCCAACCCGAUGCUUCUUCAUUUUUCUCUCCCAAGUGGGCCGGCCCAACGCCUCUUCCUUCCAAGCCCGGCCCACUCCUCUUUUGUUCUUUUCUUCCUCCCCCCUAAUCCACGUGGCCCAGGUUUUCCUCCGCCGGCCCAGCCUCACUCUCCUUUCCCCCCUCUCCCUCUGGCCGCUAGCUCGACGACAGACGGGGAAGGACAUGGCCGUAUGUGAAGCGAGGACGGCGAGGACGUUGGCGACGAGCGUUGCGCGGGACACCAACGUAGGGAAGGUAGUCUGGUACGGGGCUAGCUGGCGUCGCCCUAGAGGAGAGAGAAAAGCUUAGAGAGGGAUAAAGGGAGAGAAGGCAGAGAGAGAGGAGGAGCUCUGUUUUUCGGCUGGUUAGAACCCAAAGAGAACAACCGAGAGAGGGUGAGCUCAAGAGAAAGGAAAAGCGAGCUCGAGAGAGUAUCUCACCAUUGCCUGACGUCCAUUCGUUGCUCGUCAUCCCUCGUAGUGCUGCAUCCGAACCAGGUAGGUCAUUGCCGAAUCCUUGUGCCCUGUUUUUGGGGCUUCGCCCCGGAGCUCACGACCGACCAGUUCGCACGAACUUCGGUACCGUCCGUCUUCCAUUAAAGCUGCUUUGUGUCCUAGCGUGCGUCGUUAGGAGUUUUGGUCCGCGAUUAAGUCCCUAGCAAGUCCAAAGUCCCUUGUUCAAUAGUGUGCAAUAGUUGUUCGCUAAAAUAAGUGAGGCCUGGGUUCAUGUGAUUUGUUUUGGCCGAGAUUUGUGAUUUUAAGGUUACUGGAGCUAAAUGCUGAAGAUUCGUCCCUAAGUUAGUCUCGAGUGUCAAUCUUAUCUAGUAUGACCAAUCUUUGCGUAAACCCAAAUCCCGAAUGAGCCUAGGUCCUCCCUCUAGCCAAUGCAUUCUAUCUGUUUGAUGAAAUGUCAAAGCGAGAUUCAGAAAUGAUUUUUAUGAGGUUCGUUUCUGUGGUGUCGUCUUUGUUCAAAUUGAAGUCCAUUCCAUUGUGUCGUUUGCUCAUGCUGGUGUUAGUACUUGAAUCAUUAGAGUUUUGGUCAUACGAAAUUUUAGGGCUUGAAAAUCUUUCGUUGGAAGUAUUCCGACAAUGGUUAUGACCUCCGGCCAACUAGUGGCCAACAAUGGUGGGUGUUAGUCAGGCCAGAGGACCGACAUUGGGUGGUGGUCUAGCAAUGGUUUGAACGCCCGCGAGGGCUUGUCUGGGCGGUAGUGUGGCUUCGGUGCAGGGGAAGCCAUCUAGAAAGAAAAGGAGCCGCACAAAGAGGAAGAAUACCAGAAAAAUAAGAGAAAAAAAAAAGAAAAAAGGAAAAAAAAUGGAAUAUAAAAAAAUGUAUUAAAGAAUGAUGUUUUAUUUGAGUAGUUUGGAUUUGGGUCAGAGGAUCGGGUUAGCAGGUCAAAUCGGGUAAACCCGAUCAAAACCAGUUUCGUGAAUAUAAUAAUAUUAAAGAUUAAAAGAUUAAAAAAAUUAAAAUUAAAAGGAAAAGAAAAAGAGUAUUAAACAAUAAUAAGAAAAAAUACUAAUUCUAAAUUGUUUAGAAAAUUCAAAAUUUCUGAAAAUUAUUUUUAAACAAUUAAUAAAUUUUCAAAAAAAUUCAAAAAUUUCAGAAAAAUCUUAAAAAUUCAGAAAAUUUGGAGAACAACAAAAUUUGUGAAGAUUUCUAAAAAAAUUAAUAAAAAUAUUCCAAAAAUUCUGAAGUCUUUUGACUCUAAAUUUGCACUAAAAAAUUGAACAUACCCUUAAGGCUUUACUUUAGAGUUUCGAUUGUCCUUAAGGACAAUUGCCUUUGGUUGCCCAAUAUCAAUACAUUGAUUUUAGUUUACCUUGAGUUUAGUUAGGAUUGACAUUUAUCUUAUUCCUUAGUGUUAGGUCCUUGCUAUCCAUGCAAUUUAUUUUUUAUGCGCUCUUGGAUUACUGAUUAUUAUGUUAAUGAUUGUGCACUCGUAUAAUCACCUCACAUGUUAAUGAAUAAGUAUAAAAUCAAUCCGGACGGCCUGAUGAAAAUCUUUUUUUGAAAUGAACAAAAUUAGAUGCAAAAAGAGCACUAAUUAGCGUAAUCAAGUCCCUGACCUUUCAUUUGGUUAUGUAGGAAGUGAAGAAUGCUUCCACACUUCACUUGCUUUCUAGCUGACCCUAAUAGACUAGUGGCGACUCAUUUUUUUAAAAGAAUUCUUAUACCAUCAAUUUGAACACUCGACGUCAUGUGAAGUAAGGGUUUGAGAGAGCCCACAUUUAAAUCAUGGGCCAAAGGCCCAUCCUUUAAGCAAUACUCCUAAGCCUACUUUCCUCCCUAUCGAGAGGUAGGUUGGGACAAGCCUCACCUAUCACCGUUCCUUGCUAUUUUGAAGGAGAGAGAGCUGGGGGAGUGGGGUAUGGUUGAAAAUGGAUAGGGCCGUGUGAUCAAGAGAAAUCAAGAUUAGGCCGAGUUCUGUCGGCCUAAAUUGAGCUUCAAACUUGUCUAAGUUUGGCGAAAGGAGAUGAAUUGAUCACACUUAAGCACGGAGGAAGUUAGUGCGUUUACAAUUGUAACAUUUGUUGCUUGAGUAAUUCUCUAGUGUAGUCUAUAAUAAGAAUUAUAUGAAAUGACAUAUCUCUCUUUUAUGCUUAUAAAUGGAUUAGGCCUAUUCGAUUCAAGAGUUCAUGAGAAAUGACAAAUUAUAUCAUAUUUGGACAAAUGACAAACUCAAUUUAUAAUAUGAAAUAAUGCCCUUUUCACUUUUUUUUUGGUACAUUUUCUUUUAUAUACUAUUAUUACAAACUAUAUCAGUCCCGUAUACUUGAUGUUGGAUUUACCCAACUCAAGUCACUAUUGUUUUACAAAUACAAACAAUCACUCGGACAAGUAGCGAGCGAUCUUGAGGGAGAUGACAAGGAUGGUAUAGGAGGAAUUUGUGAGGCUUCAACACUUCCUUUUAGCAUCUCUGCAACUUAGGUCAUAGAUGGUCGAGCUCUCGAAUAGUUCUAAAUGUACCAUAAGCCUAUUACAAUCAUCUUCUUCGCUAUUCUUUCAUCCUUCUCAUUCAUGAUCCCAUGUAGCCCAAGCUCUUCUCAGAGCUCCAAAUAUUGGUGUGCCCAAUGAAGGGAGUAUAUUUGGCUAGUAUGAUCUAUUGUGACUUGAAAUUUUUCCUCCUGCCAACCAUCUCGAGAACCAUCAUAACAAAGCUAUAGACAUUCAAUUUGCAAGAAACCCUGCCAAUGUCCCUCAUGAUCAGCUCUAGAGCAAUGUAUCCGGGGGUGCCCUGAGCACCUAGCAUUGACAUGAUGCUCUUUUGUCUAGGGCAUAUUUUGGGAAGACCAAAGUCAGAAAUUUUGGGACAAUAGUUUUGGACCAGAAGAAUGUAGUGGGGCUUUAUGUCAAAGUGCAAGUUCCUCAUUUGGUAGCCUCUAUGUAAGUACUCUAGCCCAUGAGUAACGCCGACCAAAAUCAAGUACGAUGUGUCCCUACUCAAUUGUUGAUGUAUGUCCAAAGCAUUACUUUUGUUGAAGACGAACUUUUGGUGAUUCAUUUGGAUCAGAAGGAGGCAGAGGAUCGCAGAGGAUAGGAGAAAGAGGCAAGAGAGAGUGUGGAAAGCAUUUGCGGAAGCAUCAAAUGGAGUUGGUUUUGGUCCAAACUCCCAUCACUGUCAAGUGCUAGUUCUUCAACUUCGAAGCAAAUACCAAGUGAGGCAGAAUGUGGACUGAUGCGUGCAUUAUUCAAACAACCAAUGAAGAAUAUUUGCGAAAAAUUUGCUCCACAAAAUCCUAAAGAUCAAACCAUGAAACUCCUAGUAAAAGGGACCUCUAAAUUACAAUUAGGAACAAACCUCCCAUUAUACAAAUCUUCGUGACUAGUCAGUGAAAAUGAGUCUCUCUUGUGAGAUUUUGUGAAAUAAUUGCCAACUAUUCUAAAAGUUUUUAAUUAUUAGAUGAAGGCGUGGUCUAUUAUUUAAAUAUUCUAACACUCUCCCUCACGCUUAAUCUUGUCUUUUGCCUAGUACUAAUCGUGGAAAUUUAAUUGUGGAGACAAAAUAAAGCUUGGAAAAAUUUGAACUUAAGAGCAAUAACUCCGAUAUCAUAUGAGAUUUUGCGUGAUUAUUAUUAGCUAUUCUUAAAGUUUAAGCUAUUCAAUGAAUGCGUGAUUUAUUAUUUAAAUAUUCUAAUAUCUCUCAUGAAAAAUUCAUCCCCAAGCAAUAAAUAACUUGAGAUUUGCUAUUGCUUUGCACCACCAAAAAAGAAAAGUCAUGAAAAAGUCAUCAUUGUCGCAUGACAUUCUUAGUUGGAGGAAGACAAAACAAGUACGGCACCAUCGAAUUUCUAGCAAAAGAAACAAGUGGAUCACAUUCAAUCAAAUUGAGUUUUCUCCGUACAAAUUCUCGGGGUCUACUGACCAUAUGAUCUUUCAGGCACUAAUAGAAAUUGACUUCACAAAAGCUCAAGGUUUAGUGAUUUUGUGCAUAUUCUACAUGGUUGAUAAUAGAAUCUGAUGCGCCUAUAGAAACAAGAACCUGCCUAAUAAAGUUGAGAAAGCUCACCCGGGAAUGCUACUGAAAGAACGUGCGGGGUCACUGCAGGUACGAGCGUAGGGUUGCCAUGCAAUAACACAUGACACUAGAUGUUGAAGGAGAGAAGUUGCUGCCGCAAGAACCGCCAGAAAAAGUGCACGCCGACCACUCGGCUUGGUCACCACACUAAACAUCAAACCCUUGAUUCAAAACUUCCUACAAGCUGAUAUUGCAUCUUCCCAUAUCAUCGAGCGCGUUCUAACAUCGGAAUGGAAAGGAGACGACCAGGCUUGACCAAAAAGGGUUCAGUUUAACGUCAACACGAAAAGGAGACUACCUUGCUUGGCCUUAAGACCACUGAUUAAGAUAACAAGGAAUUGCUAACACAUUGAUGACACUUUAUCAGGAAGGAAGUCGGUGCAUUUACAACUCUUAACAUUUGUUGCCUAACUAAUUCUUUAGAACAAUCCAUGAUAAAAUCUUUAAACAAAAUGACAAAUCUCUCAACUAUACUUGUUAAAUGAAUUAGGCGCAUCCAAUUCAAGAGUUCAUAAUGGAGGUCAUUCAAUAAAAUAUGUUCAAACAUGUAAGCUAUUUUGCACAAUAUAAUUCCUAUUUGGAUAAAUGGCAAACUAUAUUGAUAAUAUGAAAUAAUGCACUUUUCACUUUUUUGCUUUUUCCAUCAUACUCAUAGGAAUUUAAUCUAGACAUUUGAUCACAAGUUCAUGAAAAGCUCAAUAGUCAUUAAUUAAAACGUCGAUAGCCCUUUUUAGUGUUUUUUAUUUACUCUAUUACAAACUAUGUUAGUCUGCUAUAAGUGAAAUUGAAUAACCACAACUCGAGUCAUUACUCUCUUGCAAAGAAGAACUUUCACAUGGACAAGCCUCCAGCAAUCUUGAGGAUGAUGACAAGGAUGGCUUUGGAGGAAUUUGCAAGGCCUCAGCACUUCCUUUUAGCAUCUCCACAACUUGAGUCAUACAAGGUCGAGCUCUUGGAUCAAUCUGAAUGCACCAAAAGCCUACUACAAUCAUCUUCAUUGCUAUUCCUUCUUCCUUCUCAUUCAUGAUCCCAUGCAACCCAAGAUCUUCUUGGAGCACUAGACGUUGGUGGACCGAAUGAGGAAAGUAUACUUCACUGGUACGAUCUACCGUGACUUUGAUGUUUUUCCUUCUAUCGACCAUCUCUAGAACCAUCAUGCCGUAGCUAUAGACAUCUGAUUUAUGAGAAACCCCUCCGAUGUUCCUUAUGAUCAGCUCUGCAGCAAUGUAUCCAGCAGUGCCUCGGGCACCUAGCAUUGACACGAUGCUCUCUUCUCUCGGGCAUAUUUUGGCAAGACCAAAGUCAGAAAUCUUGGGACAAUAGUUUGCAUCAAGGUGAAUGUUGUGGGGCUUUAUGUCGAAGUGCAAGAUCCUCAUGUUGCAUCCUAUAUGCAAGUACUCUAGCCCAUGAGCUAUGCCAAGGGAAAUCCGGUACAGUGUGUCCCAACUCAAUAGUUGAUCUAACUCCAAUAUGUUACUCCUAUUAAAUAUGAACUUUUCAAGGGAUCCAUUAGGCAUGAACUCAUAAACCAAAGCUCUUUUGCUUCCUUCAAAAUAGAAUCCCAAGAGGUUGCCAACAUCGACAUGAGAAGUCCUACUUAUGCUCGCAAUUUCAUUGAAAAAUUCUUCGACAUCGCCUUUCAACUUCUUUAGAAGCUUCUUUGCCACAAGUUGGCCAUCUUGAAGCUUGCCUUUGUACACACAACCAUAGCCUCCCUGGCCUAACUUUUCUUUGAAAGAGUUGGUCAUCCUCUUGAUGUCUUUAUAGGUGUACCUUCUCGAAGAGAUGAAUCCCUUGAUUUUCUUUUCGCCAUCGAAAUAUUCACUCCUUUGCUUUAUCAAAGCCACAAGUCUUCUUAUCAUUGGUUUCUUCUUGAAUGAAAGCAUUAAAAUAAGGGUGAUCCCAAUUCCAACUCCUAAUGUUGCUACUCCUGAAAAAACAUAGAACAUUCCAAAACGGCAAUCUCACUUCAUUACUUUAUCAAGACUUCUAAGUUGGGAAUCUUUAUAGAAAAUAGUCAAUGAAAAACAUGAUUUAACGGAUUACCUAUGAUGACUUUUGUCCCCAAAUUGCCAUGUUUCCCUGCCAGGACGCAAAUGCUUAUCAAAUAAAUCUUGAAUGAUUUAACGGAUUACCUAUGAUGGCUUUUGUAUUUAUUUGUUUUUUUUCUUCUUACUCAUGGACUGCCGACUGCCAACCGCCACCGCACGACCGCCGCACGACCACCACACAAUCAUCGCACGAUCGCCACACAAUCGUCGAAUGACCGCCGCACGGCCGCGCACAACCACCGCACGAUAUAAUUCCUAUUUGGAUAAAUGGCAAACUAUAUUGAUAAUAUGAAAUAAUGCACUUUUCACUUCUUUGCUUUUCCAUCAUACUCAUAGGAAUUUAAUCUAGACAUUUGAUCACAAGUUCAUGAAAAGCUCAAUAGUCAUUAAUUAAAAUGUUGACAGCCUUUUUCAGUGUUUUUAUAUACUCUAUUACAAACUAUGUUAGUCUACUAUAAGUGAAAUCGAAUAACGACAACUUGAGUCAUUACUAUCUUGCAAAGAAGAACUUUCACAUGGACAAGCCUCCAGCACUCUUGAGGAUGAUGACAAGGAUCGUUUUGGAGGAAUUUGCAAGGCCUCAACGCUUCCUUUUAGCAUCUCCACAACUUGAGUCAUACAAGGUCGAGCUCUUGGAUCGAUUUGAAUGCACCAUAAGCCUACUACAAUCAUAUUCUUUGCGAUUCCUUCUUCCUCCUCAUUCAUGAUCUCGUGCAGCCCAAGAUCUUCUCAAAGCACUAGACGUUGGUGGACCGAAUGGGGAAAGUAUACUUCACUAGUACGAUCUAGAGUGACUUUGAUGUUUUUCCUUCUACCGACCAUCUCCAAAACCAUCAUGCCAUAGCUAUAGACAUUUGAUUUAUGAGAAACCCCUUCGAUGUUCCUUAUGAUCAACUCUGGAGUAAUAUAUCCAGCAGUGCCUCAAUCGUCGCACAACUGCCGCACAACUGCCACACGAUUGUUGCAUGACAGCCGCACAACCGAUCAUUCCACAACCGCCACAUGACCGCCGACCAUCACUAUCAACCGCCGCCGCAGGAUGCUGCCCACUGCCCAUUAGCCACAAGAGGGGGCAGUAAGGUCGCUGGCCCUCGUCUAGCCGAUCGCCAGUCCGGCAACCAGCCACUUGUUGAAGGAGAAGAAGAAGAAUAGGAAAAAAUGAAAAGAAAAAAAAAACGAAAAAACGAAAAAUAAAAAAGUAUAAAAAUUAUUUAAAAAUUAAAAUAAAUUGAUUUGAAACAGAAUCAAUGAGGAUGGUACGAAACGCAAUUCUAUUUCAAAAUCAGAAAUUUUGGAUAGUUAUUAAACGGCUUAAAAUACUUAGAAAUUGUUCUUGGGAACAGAAUCGUUACCAAACAAGCCCUAAAUGUACGCUGCAAUAAUAACUCCAUACACAAAGACCUUACAAAAGCCACUAUGAACGAUUGAAACUUCUAUCAAGGUUCGAAGAGCGAUUUGCACCAAUCUCUAUUAGGACAGUCAAAAUUAAAAUGAUUUGGUUAUUUUCUUAAAUUCAUUAUACCAUUCUCUGUUAGAGCAAUUUACACCAAUCCAUGCUUGCAAUUGAUUGAAGACUUUGAAAAUGAUUGUCACGCCCCGAUCCUCCCGGCAAGUGUCCAUCCCUCUUUGGUUGAUUAAAUAGCGAUGUCCAAGGAUGCAUCACUGACCCAUUCAUUUUAAUACGCAUGUGGAAGCAAUUAAUAAAUCCCCAAACAACAACAAGAUAUGAUAGAAAAGUAGGGCCUCAAUUUUUCAAACCAAAACAAGUUUUUUUAUAAACAUACAAGUUUAUAGACUAUGCCAGGCUGUUUACAAAAAUAUCGGCUUAACGAAAGGGGAACUAUCCUAUGACCCUCUAGUUGGACAUGUUCGCCGAUUAUUUGGUCUCCAUAUUCCCAAACUCCAAGGCUUCGGGUCCUCCACCAACAUCAUCUAAGAACCUGAAAAUGGUUAUACAAUAACUAGUGAGACAAUGUUUCAGCAAGUUCAAUCCCCCAAGACCCGACUAGAAAGAAAAUACGUCCUGAGGGCUAUUUAAGCACAACACGAGUCGGAGGUCUUACCUUUGCCUCAGUUCCUCCCUGCAAUACAACACAAUUCAUAAUCUCAUCGAGUCACAUCAACCAAUCCAAUCAUUUACUCAAAUUGACUCAUCAAUCAAUCGACCUAGUCGAUUACAUGUCAAACAGACCAUUCCCCAAUCAUUUCAGUUAAUACUAUCUAUACAGUCCAACCACCUUGCGGACAGCUUACUCUAAGCUAAAAAAUAGAUAGUAGCUAGCCUCAAGGCUAAUAACUAAUAUACUACUCCUUCUCCAAGAUGACAUAUCAAGUCAUCGAGUUGAUAUAAUAUACUAUUCUUUCUCCGAUAUGACAUACCGAGUCAUCGAGCCAAUAUAAUAUAAUGUCUUUUUCCGAGAUGAUAUACCGAGUCAUCAAGCCGACAUAAUAUAUGUCUUUCUCCGAGAUGACAUACCGAGUCAUCGAGCCGACGUAAUAUACGUCUUUCUCGGAGAUGACUUACCGAGUCAUCGAGCCGACGUUUGUUCUCCAACAAUUUCUCAAUUUUUAUCAUACCCAAUAAAAUAGCCGUGUAUGGGUACGCGAUUGGCCUUAACCAAAAUAUAAUAAUUUCCUUUUCAUAAAUCCCACAAUUUCAUACGGUUCACAAAAAUAUUUUUGGCGUUAUAAACCGACGCCCAAUCAUUUUCCAAUUAAAUAAUGAAAAUAAAUAAAUUUAGGAAUAUAUCCUAAAAUCACAAUUCACAUCAAAUCAGUACAAAUAGAUCACAUCAUCACAAUCAGCAUAAAAUUCCAGUCACCAGCUAUCCUGGUCUAAUUUCCAAAAAUUAAUUAAUUAAUUAAUUAUGGAAAAUAAUUAUUAAAUGCCAAUAAUUAAAACUUAGGCCCGUAAAACCUAAUUGGAAGCCGAGACGGGCCCGAAAAAUUACCGAAUCACUCUAGUUAAAUACUAGAGUUUGUUUAGGCUCUAAUUGCACUAACUAUCCACCUAACAUGUAUCAGUAAUUAAUUAAAUUCACUAAUCUAAUCUAGCUAACCACAUAAUCCAUGUUUAACAUAAACUAAUCAACUCUUAAACGCCAUUAACCUACUAAGCGAGGAUUAGUGAGUUAAACUCACUUGUUUAACGAACCGCUCGGUUCAAAUCAACGGGAACGCAACAUAGCUUGAUCUUCUCCGAAGUGGCAAUGGCCUUCCAGAACGGAUCGGGCCUGAAAAUUGGCCCACCAAGCCUCACGGGGCUGCUGGAUUUGAUGUUGCACAGCUGAACUUUGUUGGUCGGGUUGUUGGUGGCACGACCAAGGACGGUCGAUGGGAACUGGUUGCUGCAAUCAGCCAACAAAAAUUCAGUGGAGGGGAUGCUGGCAUGGAGGAUCCGCGGGCAGAAAAGGGCAGGUUGGUGGCGUCGUCGAAGCUGUAGGGUUCUUCCACAGAAUCGAAACAAACAAAAAGGGAAAUUGCAAGGUAACGAGUGAGAGAAAAAAAAAUGAAAAAAGGGAUGGGGGCGCGUCGGUCAAGCAGGGAAAGGGAUGAGAGGAUAAGAUAGAAUCAAGAAAAGUCAAAUAAGAGGGAGGAGAAGUGAGACACGGUAGAGAGAAGGAGGGAACGUCAGUGGGGGGAGGGAUUCACAUGAACGAGAGAGAGAGAGAGAGAGAGAGAGAGAGAGGUAAGGGAAUCUGCGGCCAAGUGGGGGAAAGAAAAGGAAAUCCUAAAACUCAAAAAUCCUGGUCCCACUUGCUCUUUUUUUUUUUUUUUUGUGACCAAGGAACUCCAUAAGCCAACAGCUAGCGAGCAAACCCUAGGGGAGCGACUGCAGACCCACUACCACAAUACUAUAGGUAAAAAUCCCUAACGACGAAUCUGGAAUUCGAACUCCUCCCCUUUGUGAGGGGGAGAGAGCCCCAAGCCAGCUGCGCUGCUGCGGGCUGUGGUCCCAUUUGCUCUUGUUUAGUCCAAUUUGGUCCCCAAAAAUCCCCAUGCUAAAGUACUUGAUUCUCACUUGCUUUCUUGCACCAACUUUCCCCCAAACAACAAGUCUCGGGCAACAAAAAUGUCCAUUUCCUUCAAUUCCUAAUUCUAAUUCAUUUUUUUUUUCGGAAUCCGAUUUUAUGACCAAACUUCUUCGAUUGAGAUCAAAUUUGGAUGAAGAAAAAGCCCACACAACUUUCUUUCGCCAAGUAACUCAUGUCGAAGGCCAAAAAUCUCUUCCAUUUGGCCGAUCUGAAUUUCUGUUCGUUUUUCGAAUCAUCCGAAUCGAUUUUCCAUAAAAAUCCCGAACUCGCCGAAAAAUCCUCGAAAUAUAAGUCAAUAUUCCUAAAAUGACAUGUGACAUGAUAGAACUUUCAAUUUCUAAAAUCGGGUGCAAUUUUAGCGUGACCUAACCUACCGAGUAGCUUUCAGAAAUUUUUAGUGCAAAUGACUCAUGGUCGAUUUUCUUCGAGCCACAACGAAUCUCUUCAACACAUUGGCGACUCUCGGUGGUCAUGAAAAUCUUGAGGUGCCAAAUACGAACACAGGGUACCAAAACAAUAGAAAAAUCAAUCUAGUGUCAAUCGACGAGAAUUUUGCAAUUUAGUGAGAUCACCCACGUUUAACCACAGAUCUCAAUCGAACUAACCUAUCUUUGAUUUCUAAUCAAUCUUACUAUGCCAAAAUGAUCUCUAUAGAUGAGCACAGUUGAGUAGCCGAUUUCUGGUCGAAUCCUCAAGUCUAUUGCAUUAAAAUCUCUUAAUGACUUUACCUAAUAAUCUAGUUAUCUCAUGAGUAGCCAUCUAAAACAAAAAGCACUAUAGUCACAUCGAUGAAAAACCCAACUUAUCCAAUCGAAAUUAGAACCUGAAAUUCAAGAUGUCACAAUAAUCGUGGACUUCCAUAGCAAAGUUAGCCCUUUCAUUGGACCAUUACUAUUUUUGUCUCUUAUUUAUAGUGGGCCUACAUCCUCCCCGGGGCUAAAUCUACCAUAUUUUCAUUAAAGAGACAAAUUUGCCAUUAUAUCAUCCGAUAAAAAAUUAAAGUGGUGAAUCCCAAUUUUAUUCAUUUUCCUCCUUUUCUUUAAUUUUUUAUUUAUAUGUUGGAUCUAGUUGCCAUAGUUAUAAGUAUCACAUAUUUUUUUCUCUCUUUUUUUAAAGUAAUUAAACGGGUAUUACCAUGAAAGAAAGUUUCGAAAGACCUAAUUUUUUGGUACUUUAUAGAUUCAAAAUUCAUAACUGUUUGUAAAUUACUAGUAUUAGUGAAAUAUGAAAACCCACGUUAUAACCCUUGUAUAGUUUCCCAUAAUCAUUCACAGAACGCUUAUUCUUGCCUAUUUACCUUCAUCAUUAAGUUUCCUGCAUAUUUACUCUUUCAGCACUUUAAACUUCCUGCCCCUCUACAUUUCUCUUCUCGCAACGUUUAAUUUUAAGUGCCUACAUUCCGGUUCCAUUACAUUUACAAUCAUUUACUUGUCGGUCCAAAAUAGAAUAAAAUAAAUCUCAAAGUUAAGAAUAUUAACACGGAAGAUAAGAAUUGAGGAAUUUUUAAAUAUUUUAAUGUGUAAUAAUAAAGAAUACGUAUGUCUAUUUGUAGGUUUUACAAGAUGACUAUCUACCAUAAUAAGAUAGACAAUCAAAGAUAUGCACUAUCAAGAAGACAUAUGCAUAAUCCUAAGAAAUAUGCAUAAUCAAGUAAAUAUACUAAUAUUGCUAACAUCCCUCAAACAUAGGUGUAUUGAAACAAAUCAACUUGAGUUUGAAAAAUAAUUCAAACAGUGUGCCAAAAUUUCAAUUUAUGCAUCAUUUAGCAUCGACUUUACUGUCGAAACAAUAACCAAAUAAACGCAGCCCAUAUGACUAGCGUGGCUAUAGUAAGCUAUAUACGCAGGACUUUAUUAAGUGAAAGUUACUAUGCAGUGUUAAAUAAUACCUCCAUGAAAAAGAAAAAUUCCAUAACAGAACCACCAUGCCGCUUUCUCAAACCAGAAUGACACACUCAAAUGAACACUGUUGAGCGACAAUGAUGGAUUUAUUUUGCUACGGGUCAUGGGAUGCAAUAGGUGCGAAGUGCACUUUGGGUGAACACCAUUGGGCGGCGGGAUGGAUUUAUUUGGUUACACGUCAUGGGAUGCACCAGGCGAGUUUGAAGUGCACCCAGUGCAUUAGAGUUGACUCGAUAAAGGAGGCUCUGAUAUCAAGUUAAGAAUAAUGUAGAAGAUAAGAAUUAAAGAAUCUUUGUAAAUUUUAAUGUGUAAUAAUAGAGAGUAUGUGAGCCUAUUUACAAGCUUUACAAGAUGACCACUUAUGGUAAUGAGAUAAACAUAACAACAAAUAUAAUCAAUCAAGAAUAUGCACUAUCAAAUAAGAUAUAUGUGUAAGUUUGAGAGGUAUGUGGAAUCAACCUAAUAUACCAAUAUCACGAAUGCUCAAUUUUCUUAAAUUUCAUGAAUUCCAACCUUUUUGAAGAUUUCGCUCUUUGGAAAAGAUAAUAUCGAAUAAUUGGGGUGUGUAUAACCAUGAUUUAGUUACGUGAUUCUUGCACCGUUUAGAAUGACUUUCGUUUUGGCCGCAUUGCGAGUGCUAGGAAACCACGUAUUAUUCCGAUAUUCCUUAAGUACACUUCAAAAGAUCAAGAUAAGAGUAGAACCUUAGAAAUUUCUUGGACUUGGAGCUUUGUUUAUUACAUUAGUCUCCUAGAAAAAGAAAUCUGGGAGAAUUCCACAAAUAUAUAUAUAUAUGAGGAAUAUAUUUAGGAACAUGUAUAGUUAUCGAGUAUUAAUUGAGCAUAAAUGACAAGUGAAAGUGCUCGUAUGAGCACAUAGAGGGGGGUGAAUAGGUGUGAAAACAAAUUUUGUAAAAUAUAGUGUAAAACUUUACUUCUAACCUGAGUCUGAUUAACAGUAGAUUUUGCAGAGGAAAUCAGACUCUAACAAUUAAAUAGAGUUACGAACAAAAUAAAAGAGUUCAUGGAAGAGAAUAAGAACACAAGGUUUAUAGUGGUUCGGCUUAAUCCAAGCCUACAUCCACUCUCCCGCACUGACAGCCCACCGGCUGGAUUUCACUAUGAAUCAAAAGAGUCGUUACAGUAUCAUGUCAUUGAUUUAACAGUGUAGAAACUCUGCUACACUUCCUCAAGGCCUCACAAGUAUCUAAAUUCUUUUUUAAGUACAAAUUUACGCUCAACAAUUGAAUCAGCAAAGAACAAGAAGCUUCAGACUUUGGAAUUUAUCUAUCGUGCACACCCUCAAAUAACUAGAGUGUCUUCCUUAUACUCCUACAUGCCUUCAUAUCCGUUGGCACCUUCCAAAAGAGUUCUUCCAAUCUACCCGUUGGACAGAAUCAAUUAGGGAGAUCUCGAGCUACUUAAGAAAUGUGACGGUAGCCCACCAAUCCUACUCAUCCAUACAAUCAGGAUCUAGGUUUUCAUAAGUAGAACCUUCCAAGUAUACUUCGUCAAUCAAUGGAUCCAAAUUACUUGAAUUAAUUUCAAAACGAAUAAUAGAUCUUGAGAUGCUAUCUUCAGCCGUGAGAACUUCUUUAGCCGCUUGAAUCAAAUCCUUAAAGAAAUACUCGAUUCUGGAUAAGUCUUCUUCGUCAAUCUAGAAACUAUCAAUAAUGGUAGACUUUAAAUCUUGAGUCUGGCAGUCUGGUGGUCUUCAGACUUUGACAAAAGAGUAUAUAAGUUUUCAGACUAGACUGAUGAAAACGUUUUGUCAGCUUCAAAACAAAUAAGGAAGUUUUCUCCAACAACAAGGAAUUGCUAAGACACUUAUCACCCUUAAUUAAUCACGAAAGAAGUCGGCGCUUUUGCAAGGCUAACAUUUGUUGCUUAACUGGUUCUCUAGCAUAGUCCAUAGUAAGAUCUUCUAACAUAUCUCUCAUUAUACUUGAUAUAUGGAUUAGGCUUACUCAAUUCAAGAAUUCAUGUGAAUUGGACUCGCACGAAUGGAGGUUAUUCAAUAAAAAUUGUUCAACAUGUAAUCGAUUUUGCACAGUCUAAAUUCUAUUUGGAUGAAUGACGAACACUACUGAUAUUAUGAAAUAAUGCACAUUUCACUUUUGUCCGUGCAUUAUACCAUAGAAAUUCAACCUACACAUUUGAUCACAAUAAUUAUUAAUCCGUUUACAAUUGCUUCUUUUAAUACUGUAUAAAAAAAUUGUCCGUCUCGUCUACUUGAUAUCGAAUUAAACCCAACUCGAGUCAUCACAAUUCUGCAGGGACGAACUUUCAGCUAGACACGCUGCGAGCGAUCUUGGGGGAGAUGACCAGAUUGGUCUAGGAGGAAUUUGCAACACCUCAACACUUCCUUCUAGCAUUUUCACAACUUGGCUCAUAGAUGGUCGAGCUCUUGGAUCAAUCUGAAUGCACCAUAAACCUAUUACAAUCAUCUUCUUCGUGAUUCCUUUGUCCUCCUCAUUCAUGACCCCACACAGUCCAAGAUCUUCUUGGAGCUCUAGGCGUUGGUGGAUCCAAUGAGGGAAGUAUAUUUCACUGGAACGAUCUACCAUGACUUCAAUAUUUCUCCUCUUGCCUACCGUCUCCAAAACCAUCAUGCCAUAGCUAUAGACAUCUGAUUUGUGAGAAACCCCUCCAAUGUUCCUUAAUAUCAACUCCGGAGCAAUGUAUCCGAUGGUGCCCCGGGCACCUAGCAUUGAAACGAUGCUCUCUUCUCUUGGGCAAAUUUUGGCAAGACCAAAGUCGGAAAUCUUAGGGCAAUAGUUUCCGUCGAGGAGAAUGUUGUGAGGCUUUAUGUCAAAGUGCAAGAUCCUCGUGUUACAACCUUUAUGCAAGUACUCUAGCCCGUGAGCAAUGCCAAGCGAAAUCCGGUACAAUGUAUCCCAACUCAAUUGUUGAUCUACCUCCAAACCAUUAUUUAUGUUGAAUAUGAAUUUUUCGAGUGAUCCAUUGGGCAUGAACUCAUAAACCAAAGCUCUUUUGCUUCCUUUAAAACAAAACCCUAGGAGGCUGACCACAUUGACAUGAGAAGUCCUGCUUAUGCUUGCAACUUCAUUGAAAAACUCUUCCGCAUCGCCUUUCAGCUUCUUUAGAAACUUCACCGCCACAAGUUGACCAUCUGAAAGCUUGCCUUUGUACACGCAGCCAUAGCCUCCCUCACCUAACUUUUCUUCAAAAGAGUUGGUCAUCUUCUUGAUGUCUUUGUAGGUGUAUCUUCUCGAAGAGACGAGUCCCUCAAUUUUCACUUCAUCAUCAAAAUGUUCACUCCACUGCUUUAUGAAGUCUGCAAUUUUUCUUAUCAUUGGUUUCUUCAUGCAGGAGAGCAUUAAAAUAAGGGCGAUCCCAAUUCCAGCUCCAGAUGCAGCUAUUCCUAAAAAAGCAGAAUAUUUUCUUACAGCGAUCUCACUUCAUCACAUUAUUGAGGCUUCUAAGAAUUAGAAAUAUUGAUUCCAUUGAGCAGCGAUGCAAGUUAUUAUCAAAAAGUCAGAACGAAUUGCAGAGAAAAAUGUAGAGAAGUGGAAGAGAAAAUCUGGAUAUAAUUACCUAUUCCGAUUUUCAGUCCAACGUUUCGUUUUCCUGAGACAAUAGUCAUCAAAAGUGAAAAAUGUGUCAACGAAUUGCAAACAGGUGAUUUCAAAGUGUCUUAAGAGAUAAAGAUGAGGGCAUAUCAUGAGGUUAUAGUUCAUUCAAUUUCAAGAAACCAAAAAUACCACCAUUGAGUGAAGAAAAUUACGAAUUCACCAGUUUGGCUCUAUCCUCCUCUUGAACAUGGAUCAAACAGUGACAUCAUACUAGAAGAAAUUGGAAAUACAUGCAAAUGGAUCUGUGGCUGAUUGACUAACAAGUGUAGACAUUAGCUAUAAUCCUGAAUUCUAGUGCUAUCAGGGGAUGCACAGGAAGGCAGCAAAGGAUACAUUUUCUUGCUGGUAUAAACGUAGCAAACACUCUGAAAUGUGAUCGACAAUGUGGUACCAGAGGCAGAGACAAAUAAAACUUUCUGCGUCACUAAUGGAAUGGGCUGUAUGUUCUAGACAUGUCUCAACUCUUUAGCUUCUAAGCAGACCUCUAGGCUUGACUAGAAGUCGUUCCAUAAUUAAAUUUAUUGGGCAGCUCAUGUUCAGGCACAAAUUUUGGAGCUUCUUGUAUCAUGAACACCACUAGCAAACUAUCGCAGAAAGAUAGAAACAUCAACAGUUCCUUUACUGCUCUUUCAUUUCCUCGAGCUUUGCAAAGUCACAAUCUAUGAGGUUCCAAUAAGAUAUCUUGGAACCCAAGAGAAGGGAAGUUUUGUUCGCAGCACUAAUCGAGUCUAAGGAGAAGCAUUUGGAAAAGCUGAAGGACAUUAUCCUCAGCACGUAGAAAUGAAACAUUAACUGAAAAACAGGAAAAACAUUUUUAGUAUUCGACAAAGAAAUCUAAUAGAUACAACUGCAAGGGGGAGGGAUAGAAAGAGUACUUAUAUGUGCUAUCAUAAUGAGAAAAAAGUCCAUUGAUAAUGUCAAGAUUUAAUUAUCUGUACGGUUCACAUCUGGCAAUUUUAUAAAGAUAUUUCAACCACACAAAUGAUCAGAUUUUAGCAACACUUUCAGAAAGGUAGUUUUUCUUCUUCCUUUUUUCAUUUGGUUGUGAUCAUAGUAAAAUCUCAAGAAGGAAAUGAGUAAUUUUAGCCCAACAUUUGCAAAAUUUCACAGUAAACGUGGAGCAUCUUCAUUCAAUGUAUUCAAACCAUCGGAGCUCAUGGUCGCAAAUAUCAACCAAAUGAUCAAAACAGAAAAUAGGAAUGAUAAGGUUUUAAGAGUCUAAAUAGUAACAUGAUCAUGUCUGUCAUAGCGAGGAUGACCACACUCCAUUGCAGCGAGGGAUAUGCCCAGCAAAAUGAGAUUGUCAAGCUUUAGGGGCAUGAGCUGGUCGUUUCCUAAUUAACAAGCAAAGGAAAGAGCAUGCGCAGCAAUUCCUCUCAUUGAACAACUUCAGCUAACUGAAAACCACAUAUUAGGCGACGAAAGUGGCCUCAUUUGAGAUUGUUUCUUGUGGGAUCCAAUUAAAUCCUUUAUCUCCGCGUUAUUCUCUUGUCGUUUUCUUUCUGCCAAACAAUGACUUAUUAAUUUUCCCCCAUAUUUUCCUCUACCCUUCGCUUUCCAUCCCAUUUCGUCACUCCCAAAUUGCUCAGCAAAGUAAAUGAGUGAUAAGGAAAAGUUAAGAUAAACCACCUUGUGUAGACGUAGCAGUUGUUGCCUCUGGGGUCUCAGCAGAUGUUGAUGAACCACAAGUUUUGGAAGCAAAGGACUGGUCAGGACAAGAGCAAGUGGUCCGAUUGGCAGUGGUAUUGUAACCACAAACUCCGUUCGAUUGAGUGCACUCAACACAUGCUUCACUAUCCACCUUCAGCUGAACCUCAAAACCAUGCUGCAGCAGGUCGCUUAAACUGGACGAGCUAUUUCCCAAGUCACUCUGAGAAUAUGAAGAAGAGCUAUCUCCCAAGUCACUCUGAGAAUAUGAAGAAACCGGGACUACCACGCUCUUGAAGCACGCUCCACUGUCAACACUCGACCCUGAAAACACAUAGCCCUCCGUGUACGGAACCCCCUUAAAAGGGCACGAGAAUUGGCCCAAGAAAGUUGGGGAAACCGAUUGGCAACCGUAGAGGAAAGUGACGUUGGUGUAGCCCUCGGCGAUUUGGAACAUCGACGGGUCGAGAGUAGUGUUAAGGAAAUUCGUGGGACAGAUUCCCUGCAUAUAGUCAUCCCUCGCGAUUCUCAGUACCUGAGUAGAAUUGGGAUACACCUCCAGAACUCGGUACUUCACUCCCUGUAUCACGAUGGUCGUGUUGCCUCCGUUCUCGCACUUGAGCUCCAACUCGGGAUACCCGCAAAAGCUCGCUCUGUUGCCACCCCAGAAGGGAUAGCCAAUGCCUCCAACGUCCCCACAGCUGAACGUGCCGUUGCAGCUCGAGUAAUAAUCCACGCCCAGGGAAGGAGGACUCUUGAUCAAGAUCAAGAACAGUGGGAACAAAAAGUGGAGAAUACGAGCAGAAGAUGGAGAAGGAAGCCAAGAAAGAGACAUGGUGAUUCACGAAGAAAUGGGAAUGCGGGUGCUAGAAAAAGGGGAAGUGGAACGCAAAUUGAAGGUCUGGAGAAAUAAAUAAUCCAAGAAAGAGAGGCCAUUUUCCGUUGACUGAAAAAUUUUCUUUUUGACUCAUUCUCAAUCUGAACAUACAAAAAAUCAAAGAAAAUUUUUUUAAUGCCGGGCGGUCUGCAUCGCAGGCCACUAGUAGGUUCUGGGGAACUUCGUGGAGACUGGUUCUAAAAUUUUUAAUUACGGAUAAGAAUAAUGCUGCUUUUGGGAAUGACUCGAUCCAAUACUAUAUUGUCUUGCGAAGAGACCGAGACGUUUGUAGGUGCAGAAAGACGCGAAGACGAAGACUUAGACUUUGACUUAGGACUUGGGCUAGUAUUCCCAUAUAACAAUUUGUAUCCGCAACCCUCAUUAAUGAACGUGUUUCUUGAGCUUAUUGCUAAGCUCAAAAGAUCGCUAGCCGAUUCCCAGGGAACAUAUAGGGCCGCCCUAUUCUUUUGCAAUUUGGCCUAUCUCGUUAGUAUCCUUUACUGUGACGAAGUAGGUGUUGGCCCGGAAGAGAGCGGGUCGGGUGAUAAUAGGAGCCGGACGAGCGAUUGAGGAUGGGGUGGUAGCAAGAUACAACGGGAUCGCCAACGGUCCAAAGUGAAAAUCGGAUGGGGAUGUCACCGCAUUGGGAUGAGGAUGAGCCGGAGUCGUGACUGGACGAGAAAGUGGAGUGGAUGCCAUGGAAGCUCCCAAAGAAGAAGAAGAAGAGGGGGGAAGGUGGUGGUUUGGCAUUUUCUUUGUUCUUAUCUUGGCGAGGAAGAAGAUCAUUGUCUGGCAAUUUAGAAUGAACCAGCUAAAUAACGAUGCGUUCUUACUUCUUAGCGUUAAUUGACUAUAUCAGUUUGGCUAGAGAAUAGAUGCAGAAACGACGAAUGAUUAUGCAAGCCAAUAAAAAUUUUACAUGUCGGUGUAUUGUGCGGGAGUAUUAAAGCCCGCCCUGCAACCCAAUCCAUUUUUCAUCCAAGGAAUAUUCCGUUUAAGGUGGGAGGAGCCAUUUGGAUUGGUGUGAUUGAUUGAAAACUUUGAAAAUGACCCUGGACUUUCACAGAGAAGUUAGCCCUUUCGUUGGACCAUAAUUCCUUUUGUCUGUUAUUUAUUCUCAUAUCCAUUUUUUUUAAAAACAAAAAAAAAAAAAAAAAGAGAGAGAGGGGGGAGGGGGGGGGGGGGGUUUCGAGUUUGAUGCACUUUUUUAUUUUUAAAAAAAAGAACAAUUAGGAUUUUAUUAAAAUUUCCACAAAAACAUGCGGGGGUCUUAAAUUUAGUGUAGUUUUCAUGAUUAAAUUUUUAAGAAUUAUAGUAUCAAAUAAAUAAAGUGGCAGUGUAGAAAUUUCCCACUUUUCUCUUUCACACUUUGAGUCUUCAAUAGUCGUAUAACUCGUCGGAGUUUUGAUUCGAUGGCUUGUAUGUUAUCUGUGGCUAUAAGAUUAAGAAAUUAAUGGUCUUAAAAUAUUUUGGAUGCAAACUUCAUAUGUAGUCAAGUAAUAAGGUGACUAUAGUAUUUUCCUUUUCUAAACUUCACGAGGUUAAUCUUUUGCGGCACAACAAUACUAAAUAAUUAUCAAAAAAAAAAAAUGUCUGGUCGUCAUGCCAAAAGCACACACGCAGGAAAAAUGACACCUAAGUUCAUAAAAUUUGACUCAAUAUGCAUCGUCAUCCUUGAAUUUUUUGUUUGUUUAAUGUGAUCUUUGGACUAUUUUCCUUUUGUUUAAUCGAACAAGGAAGAAAGUUAUCACAAGCCCCCAAACUAGUGUGAAAUGUCCAAUGUAAUCACUAAAGUAUAACAAAAUAUGCAAACUAGUCUCUAAACUAUUGCGAAAUGUGCAAUAUAUUCAUAAACUUCCAUUAUGUUCAGUCUAGUCCCUCAACUUUCCAUAACAAAGUCAAAUUGAUCUUUCAAUACCAUCUACUAGUUUGCAUAAUUACAUAAUUGCCCAAAUUUUAUAAUAUCUUUUCAUUUCAAUCUAUUUCCCAAAUCAAAUAUAUAUUAGAUUAUUAUCCUUUCAGUACUUAAAAACAUUACGAUAGUUCUAUAUAAGUAUAUUUUUAGCUUGCCAUCUCUACAAUAGUAAAAGUAAAAUUUCAUUAAAAGUUGUAUCAAAUUGAUAUUCCUACUAUUUUAAGUAUAAUUAUUUUCAUAAAGAUGAUAUCUAGAAACGAUAACAAUUUAUCAAUAGAUACACAUACUAAUAUUAAUCUAAAACUUACUCAUAAUUUUUUUAAUAGAUACAAAUUUUAAGCUUUUAUGUUACAUGUUUUCUUAAUAAAGUUUAGUUAAAUCCGUGUGUUAUUUUUUUUUUUGGUAAAAUAUCAUUUUUUUCGAACAUUUACUAUAAAGCAUGAAAACACACCGUCGCAUCAAUCAUUUUAUUGCUUGUUCGCACUGUGCUAUAAAUUUCUUGAGGAUCAUUGCAUAUGCAAAAGGGACAAAACAUGGGCCUCAAGAAGCAAGAACGGUGGGUGAAUGAUUGGGCCUUGUAGACUCCGACCCACAAAGGAGGCAUUCAAUGGCCAAGAGUGUCCAGUAUGAGCAAAUAAAGGUGUUUGACACUUCGAUUUAAACGACAGAAAAAAAAAUCAUUGUUCUGAUAAUCGGACCGGACUAGCGGUUUAAUCAAGCGUUAGUUUGAUUUUCGGCCCGUUCAAUUUUUUUUUUUUUUUGUCAACUUAAGCCAAUUCAACCAAUUUUUGUGGGACAAUCCACUAUUAACUAGUAUAAAAGGAUCAUUCAAAAGAUAUUAAAACCGAGUAGUCCCAAGAUUAGGUACAAUAAUCACUAAGCUAACCGCAAGAUUGACCCUUGGACCAUCGGAUUAGCAUGAAUAAUCCACCAAACCAAUUCUCAUUUUUAAAAAGUUAAUCCUUGGAAUGCUUGUACUUCUCACCAGGUCGAACAACAACAGAAGGAAAGUUUGGUUGGUUGAACGCAUUUGGAAAUCCUUGCGUCUCCAAACACACUCCAGAGUGCUUGCCAUAUGCCGUAUCACCUUUACCGACUACUCCAUUUACGUAAUUUCCAGUGUAAAACUGCACUCCCGGAGCAUUGGUCCACAAGUCAAGAACCCUAGAACUUGAAGGGUCCUUCAGUUUGGCAGCGUGUUUUAGGCCCGACUUCUCUUCCCCACAGUCCAGCACAUAGUUAUGGUCGUAACCUAAACCAGGCACCUCAUGAAUUGAAGUGCCAAUCUUCUUCUCCGUCGUGAAAUCAAAAGCCGUUCCUUUGACGGGCAUAAUUUCACCUGUUGGGAUUGUGUUCUGAUCCACGGGAGUGAUGUGAUUAGCCCAUAUCUGGAUGGAGUGGUUUAGUAUGGGUGCGUUUGGUUGUAUUUCUGUUUAAAAAUUGUUCCAGGGAACAGAAAUAAAAAAAAAGUGUUUCUGUUCCUGGGAACAAUUUCUGAACAAAAAAACGCGUUUGGUAAACUUGUUCCGGGAACAAAAAAUAAAUAGAAACACGUUUGGUAAAUUUGUAUAAUUUUUUAUUUCUUUUAUUUUUUUAAUAUUUUUAUUUUAUUUUUCUAUUUUCUUUUUUAUUUUUCCUUUUUUUUUCUUUUUUCUUUUUUGGCCGGUCGCCAGCCUCGGCCAUGGCCGGCGACCGGCCGGCGACGACCGGCGGCCUCGCCCAGCCACGGCGAGGCUCGCCGGCCCCCGGCGAGGCCGAGCCUGGCCGUGGCUGGGCGAGGCUCGGCCUCGCCUUGGCUGGGCGAGCUGCCGCCAUGGAAACUCUCGUGGUUUCUUCCCUGCCCUCCGUCCGCAUCCGGGAACCGCAUCCCGGGAGCCUUUUCUUCCGACCCAGAUCAGUGAACCUUCUUCCCCUGCCGAGGCGGACUGCAGGCGCCAGGCUCCGCGCGGCGGUUUCGUCGCCGGCGUCGUCCGGCGUCUCGGCGGAGCCCGCGGCCCCGGUCGAGACCGAUGCCCCGGGCGACGCCGCGGGGGAGAAGUUCGACUGGUACUCGCAGUGGUACCCGGUGAUGCCGGUCUGCGACCUGGACAAGAGGAGGCCGCACGCGAAGAAGGUGAUGGGCUACGCCGACCUGGCGGUGGCCGGGCAAGACCGAGCCUCGCCGGGGGCCGUCGAGCCUCGCCUUGGCUGGGCGAGGUCGCCGGCCCUCGUCGGCCGGUCGCCGGCGACUGGCCAAAGAAAAAAAAGAAGAAAAGAAAAAAGAGAAGUAUUUCUAGAUUUUGUUUCAGAAACAAGAAACACAUUUUUUGUGUUUCUUGGUUCUGUUUCUUUUUUGUUCCUGUGAACAAAAAAACAGAAAUUUCUGUUCCUGGGAACAGAAACAGGGUGCAGCCAAACGCACCCUAUGUUUCCCGAAUGUCACCGACUAAGUUCCAGUAGGCAUGCUGAGCCAAGCUGAUAGGAGUGGCCUUAUUUUCAGGCACAGCUUCCAUGUCGAGCCUCAUUGUUGUACUAGAAGUUAGUGUGUAAGUAGCCGUC